UGGGGAAUAUUGGACAAUGGGCGAAAGCCUGAUCCAGCCAUGCCGCGUGUGUGAAGAAGGUCUUCGGAUUGUAAAGCACUUUAAGUUGGGAGGAAGGGCAUUAACCUAAUACGUUAGUGUUUUGACGUUACCGACAGAAUAAGCACCGGCUAACUCUGUGCCAGCAGCCGCGGUAAUACAGAGGGUGCAAGCGUUAAUCGGAAUUACUGGGCGUAAAGCGCGCGUAGGUGGUUUGUUAAGUUGGAUGUGAAAUCCCCGGGCUCAACCUGGGAACUGCAUUCAAAACUGACUGACUAGAGUAUGGUAGAGGGGGGUGGAAUUUCCUGUGUAGCGGUGAAAUGCGUAGAUAUAGGAAGGAACACCAGUGGCGAAGGCGACCACCUGGACUAAUACUGACACUGAGGUGCGAAAGUGUGGGGAGCAAACA
rnacentral:rRNA from 1 species